rnacentral:rRNA from 1 species
UGGGGAAUUUUGGACAAUGGGCGCAAGCCUGAUCCAGCCAUGCCGCGUGAGUGAAGAAGGCCUUCGGGUUGUAAAGCUCUUUCGGCAGGAACGAAAUGGUACGUGCUAAUACCACGGACUGAUGACGGUACCUGAAGAAGAAGCACCGGCUAACUACGUGCCAGCAGCCGCGGUAAUACGUAGGGUGCAGGCGUUAAUCGGAAUUACUGGGCGUAAAGCGUGCGCAGGCGGUUAUACAAGACAGGCGUGAAAUCCCCGGGCUUAACCUGGGAAUGGCGCCUGUGACUGUAUAGCUAGAGUGUGUCAGAGGGGGGUAGAAUUCCACGUGUAGCAGUGAAAUGCGUAGAGAUGUGGAGGAACACCGAUGGCGAAGGCAGCCCCCUGGGUCAACACUGACGCUCAUGCACGAAAGCGUGGGGAGCAAACAGG